rnacentral:lncRNA from 1 species
GUGUGGCCAGGAGGGCCACUUCCGGACUAAGUGCCCGAGGAGAUCGUCACCGGCACCAUCGACUGCAUCGGCACCGGCUCUACCAGCCGCUAGCCAGGUGACUCCAUCGGCACAGUACCAGCCUGGGCGGCCACCCGUCGAGCGUCAGAGCGAGGGAUCACGCCAGGCCUCGAGUGGCCGUAUGUAUGCCGCUCAGACCGAGGAGGCGGCGACAGCCGGGGAUGUGGUUGCAGGUAUCAUUUUACUUGAUGGUAUUAGAGUUCGAGCAUUGUUUGAUACCGGUGCAUUACAUUUAUUUAUAGAUCGGCUGUUCGCCGAGUUGCAUGACAUCCAGAUGGUUUUUUUGUUGCAUCCAGGACAGGUUGUAGUACCCGACCAUAUUUUGGAUAUUAGGGAAUACUGCUCCAGUUGCCCUGUUUGGGUUGGGGAUUGGAUUAUGCCCGUGGACUUGCUAGCCUUGCGCAAGCUAGGGGAGUUCGAUGUGGUUUUGGGUAUGGAUUGGCUAACCAAAUGUUAUGCCACGAUUGAUUGCAAGAAUCGCACGGUUACUUUUAGAGAACCGGGGCAAGUUGAGGUGAUAUUUAGAGAAUGCCAGAGUUCGCUAUUUGCGAUGACGAUCAGCUCGUCACGGGCUAGGCAGCUGACUAGCAGAGGGUGCAUAGCCUUUUUGGCUAGUGUUGUUAUGAGGGGCGACGAUGAUACCCCUAGGAUUGAGGAUAUCCCGGUGGUACGGGAGUUUCAGGAUGUGUUUCUAGCUGAGCUACUGGGUAUGCCACCUGAUAGGGAGAUUGAGUUCGUGGUAGAUCUCGUCCCUAGGACUACCCCAAUCUCAAAGGCACCCUAUAGGAUGGCACCGGCGGAGCUGAAGGAGCUGAGGGCACAGCUACAGGAUCUUCUGGACAGAGGCUUCAUUCGGCUGAGCGUCUCGCCUUGGGGAGCGCCAGUUUUGUUCGUCAAGAAGAAAGACAGAUCGCUUCGCUUAUGUGUGGACUAUCGUGAACUUAAUAAAGUCACGAUCAAGAAUAAGUAUCCGUUGCCGAGGAUCGACGACUUGUUUGAUCAGCUUCAGGGAUCGUGUGUGUAUUUCAAGAUAGACUUGCAGUUGGGAUACCACCAGUUAAAGAUCAAGCCCGAGGAUGUAUCGAAGACGACCUUUAGAACACGGUAUGAACAUUACGAGUUCACAGUUAUGCCGUUUUGGCUUACUAAUGCCCCGGCAGCUUUUAUGGAUUUAAUGAACAGUGUCUUUAAGCCUUAUCUGGAUAGGUUCAUCGUGGUGUUUAUCGACGACAUCUUGGUUUAUUCCCGAAGUGAUGCGGAUCACGAGGAGCAUUUGAGGCUUGUACUUCAACUACUUCGUGAAAGGGAGCUCUUUGCUAAGCUGAGAAAGUGUGAAUUUUGACUUCGAGAGGUGGCUUUCCUUGGGCAUCUGAUUUCGGGAUCAGGUAUUGCAGUGGAUCCCAAGAAGAUUGAGGCUAUCAGGGAGCCGAGACCGACAAGCGUCACGGAGAUUCGGAGUUUCCUUGGAUUGGCCGGCUACUGCCGGAGAUUUGUUGAGGGGUUUGCUAAGUUAUCUACUCCCCUCACGAGGCUCAUGCAUAAAGGUGUUAAGUUUAUUUGGAACGAUGCGUGUGAAAGGAGCUUCCAAGAGUUGAAGCAAAGAUUGACGACCGCCCCGAUCCUAACCCUGCCAGUUGCUGGAGCCGGGUAUGUGGUUUAUAGUGAUGCUUCAUUUAAUGGAUUGGGUUACGUUUUGAUGCAGAAUGGCAAGGUGAUCGCGUAUGCUUCCCGCCAAUUGAAGGAGUAUGAGAGAAAUUACCUCACACAUGAUUUGGAGUUGGCGGCCGUAGUCUUUGCAUUGAAGCUAUGGCGCCACUAUCUUUAUGGCGAGCGGUGUGAAAUAUACACGGAUCACAAGAGCUUGAAAUACCUAUUCACUCAGAAGGAGUUGAACUUGAGGCAGCGCAGAUGGUUGGAGCUGCUCAAGUAUUAUGAUUUGACCAUUCUCUACUACCCAGGCAAGGCUAACGUGGUGGCUGAUGCACUAAGUCGAAAAUCGAUGGAGAACUUGGCGAUGCAUAUUGUGGCUCAACCGCAAUUGAUCGAGCAGAUGAAGCAGUUGGAGAUGGAGGUGGUGACUCCUGACACGCCCUUGAGGUUGAUGACAUUGGUAGUGCAACCUACAUUGUUGGAUAGAAUCAAAGAAAAGCAAGUUUUCGAUGUGGAACUGCAAAAGAUUAGAGGAAAAAUGGUUGAUGGUUGCACCGGCGGUUUCCUCGUGGACGACCAAGGGUUGAUGCGCUUUCGAGGACGGCUUUGUGUUCCGGCGGAUUCGGGAAUUAAAGAAGAUAUUCUUCAAGAAGCGUACAGGGCGCCCUAUGCUAUACAUCCGAGAGGCACCAAGAUGUACAAGAAUUUAAAGUUGAUUUAUUGGUGGCCCGGGAUGAAAAAGGAUGUUUGUGAGUUUGUUGCUAGAUGUCUAACUUGCUAACAAGUUAAAGCUGAGCACCGGUUACCCGCGGGAAAACUUCGGAGUUUGUCGAUUCCCGUAUGGAAGUGGGAGAAGAUCACCAUGGAUUUUGUGACUGGAUUGCCUCGUUCUCAGGCCGGGCAUGAUGCCAUUUGGGUGAUUGUGGACAGAUUGACGAAGUCGGCGCACUUCAUACCUAUUCAUACGACUUGGACUGGGGAGAAGCUCGCACAAGUGUACCUUGACGAGAUUGUGCGACUGCACGAAGUGCCUACUUCGAUUGUAUCUGAUCGAGACACUCGGUUUGUGUCUCAUUUUUGGAGGAGUCUGUAGGACGCCUUAGGCACCUGACUGGAUUUCAGCACCGCUUUCCACCCUCAGAGUGAUGGGCAGUUGGAGCGCACUAUUCAGACUUUAGAGGAUAUGCUCCGAGCAUGUGUGAUUGACUUCCAGGGAGGAUUGUCGCAGUAUCUACCUAUGGCGGAGUUUGCUUAUAACAACAGUUAUCAAACAAGCAUCAAGUGCCCUUCGAAGCACUUUAUGGACGGAAGUGUAGAUCGCCACUUCAUUGGAGUGAAGUUGGCGAGAGACUUACUUUAGGCCCUGAUGUGCUCUAGGAAGCUGAGGACAAGGUUCGCAUUGCUCGGGAGCGACUCUUGACGGCGCAGAGUAGACAGAGGAGCUACGCUGAUCGAUGGCGGUGAGACUUGGAGUUCCAAGUUGGAGACCAUAUUUUCUUGAAGGUCUCGCCGACUAGAGGAAUCAAGAGAUUCGGGAUUCGGGGAAAGUUGAGCCCCCGUUUCAUUGGACCGUAUGAGAUUUUGGAACGUGUAGGCCCGGUAGCGUAUCGACUUGCCCUACCGCCGAAUCUAUCGGGCGUGCACAACGUUUUUCAUGUAUCGGUCCUUCGGAGAUACAUUCAUGAUCCAGCUCACAUUUUGGAUGGUUUACCAGUGGAGCUGCAUGAGGAUUUGAGCAUCGAGGAGCAACCAGUGAAGAUUUUGGCUCGCGAGGUGAAGAAGCUGUGGAGUCGGGAUAUUCCGUAUGUGAAGGUCCUUUGGAGCAACCANNNNNNNNNNNNNNGAUUGACGACGGCCCCAAUCCUUACCUUGCCGACUGCUGGAGCAGGGUAUGUGAUUUAUAGUGAUGCUUCCUUUAAUGGAUUGGGCUGUGUUUUGAUGCAGGGCGGGAAAGUGAUCGCGUAUGCAUCUCGCCAACUGAAGGACUAUGAAAAGAAUUACCCCACCCACGACUUGGAGUUGGCGGCCGUAGUCUUUGCAUUGAAGCUAUGGCGCCACUACUUAUAUGGCGAGCGGUGCGAAGUAUAUACGGAUCACAAGAGCUUAAAGUAUCUAUUCACUCAAAAGGAGUUGAACUUGAGGCAGCGCAGAUGGUUGGAGCUACUCAAGGAUUAUGAUUUGACAAUAUUUUACCACCCGGGCAAGGCUAACGUGGUGGCGGAUGCGCUAAGUAGGAAAUUGACAGAAAACUUAGCGAUACACGUUGUUACUCAAGCGCAGUUGAUUGAGCAGAUGAAGUGGUUGGAGUUGGAGGUGGUCACUCCAGACACACCCCUAAGGUUGAUGGCUUUGGUAGUGCAACCUACAUUGUUGGAUAGAAUUAAAGAAAAGCAAGCUUCCGAUGUGGAGUUGCAAAGGAUUAAGGAUAAAAUGGUUAAUGGUUGCAUCGGCGGCUUCCUUGUGGAUGAUCAAGGAUUGCUGCAUUUUCACAGACGGCUAUGUGUACCGGCGGAUGCGGGAAUCAAAGAGCACAUUCUUCGUGAAGCACACCGAGCACCGUAUGCUAUACAUCCGGGUGGCACCAAGAUGUACAAGGACUUAAAGUUGCUCUAUUGGUGGCCCGGGAUGAAAAAGGAUGUUGGCGAGUUUGUAGCUCGUUGUUUAACUUGCCAACAAGUAAAGGCUGAGCAUCGAUUACCCGCGGAAAAACUUCAGAGUUUGCCUAUCCCCGUGUGGAAGUUGGAAAAGAUCACCAUGGAUUUCGUGACUGGAUUGCCCCGCUCUCAGGCUGGGCAUGAUGCUAUAUGGGUGAUCGUGGAUAGGUUGACGAAGUCGGCGCACUUCAUACCUAUUCGUACUACUUGGACCGAAGAGAAGCUCGCACAAGUGUACCUUGAUGAGAUUGUGCGACUUCACGGAGGACCUACAUCGAUAGUAUCGGAUCGAGACACUCGGUUUGUGUCUCACUUUUGGAGGAGUCUACAGGACGCCUCGGGCACCCAACUCGACUUCAGUACUACUUUCCACCCUCAGAGUGAUGGGCAGUCGGAGCGCACCAUUCAGACUUUAGAGGAUAUGCUCCGAGCACGUGUGAUAGACUUCCAGGGAGGAUGGUCACAGCAUCUACCUAUGGCGGAGUUUGCUUAUAACAACAGUUAUCAAGCAAGCAUCAAGAUGGCGCCCUUCGAAGCACUUUAUGGACGGAAGUGUAGAUCGCCACUUCAUUGGAGUGAAGUUGGCGAGAGACUGACUUUAGGCCCUGAUGUGCUCCAAGAAGCUGAGGACAAGGUUCACAUUGCUCGGAAGCAACUCUUGACGGCGCAGAGUAGACAGAGGAGCUACGCUGAUCGACGGCGGCGAGACUUGGAGUUCCAAGUUGGAGACCAUAUUUUCUUGAAGGUCUCGCCGACUAGAGGAAUCAAGAGAUUCGGGAUUCGGGGAAAGUUGAGCCCCUAUUUUAUUGGACCGUAUGAGAUUUUGGAACGUGUAGGCCGGGUAGCGUAUCGACUUGCCCUACCGCCGAAUCUAUCGGGCGUGCACAACGUCUUUCAUGUAUCGGUCCUUCGGAGAUACAUUCAUGAUCCAGCUCACGUUUUGUAUGCUUUACCAGUGGAGCUGCAUGAGGAUUUGAGCUUCGAGGAGCAACCAGUGAAGAUUUUGGCUCGCGAGGUGAAGAAGCUGCGUAAUCGGGAUAUUCCGUAUGUGAAGAUCCUUUGGAGCAACCACGGGGAGCGAGAGGCUACGUAGGAGCUAGAUAGCGCUCUGCAGGAGCGUUAUCCCCAUCUCUUUCAGAUAGAGUCUUGAGGUAUGCUGUAUUCCGAGUUUCGCGGACGAAACUCCUUUUUAGGAGGGGUGAAUGUAACGCACUGGACCUUUGCAAAUUGCGAGGUUCGAGUGUUUGAUCUGUAUUCUGAGCUUUUCCAGAUAUUCUGGAGGGUCGUAGACAGUGUUCCGACCUAUGGCUCGCAUCCCGAGAAUUGUGGGUUUAAGCUUCUACCAAAAUCCCAAAAUGUAGGAUUGUUGGUGUGCUCUCAGGUUGCCUCUGCAGGAUUGUGUACCGGUACAACCUUGAUGGUUGUACCGGAACGCAAUGUGUACCGGUACAGCCUCGAUGUCGUACCGGUACACUUCGAAUUUUCUGCCAACCCGGUGCUCGGGUUGGGCAGUUUCGCAGGAAGUGUACCGGUACACUUUCCCGUGUACCGGUACACAAUGCAGACUGGGCUGAGUUCGGAGAGGGUUGUAUUCGCAAUUGUUGCAACCUCUAUAAAUAUCACCCCAGCCCCCAAAGCUGCUCUUUUUGAGCCCUAACCAGUGGAGAUCAAGGUGAGUCUCCCUCGCCUUGUUUGAUCUCUAUUUUUGGUGGAUUUUAUGGUAUUUUGAUCUCUCUUUUUUUUCUCCUCUUUGCUACUUGUUGGGUUUUCUUCAUUGUUGAAGACUUGGAGCUUGGAGAGGAGCUUGUUUGAGAGGAGAUCUUCAACCCCUCUUGGUUCGGAGCCUAGUUUGGAGCAAUUUGAGAGGUGAGUAGCACUUUUCUACUCCUUGAUCUUUGUUUUGAGAGAUUUUAUGAGAUGAAACCCUAGAAUAAGACUUAGGGUUUAUAUUUUGGGGCUUUUUGAUUAGAAGCUUUUAGAGCUCUAUUGAUGGAUUUAGAACCUUGGAUUAGGUUGCUUUGGAAGGGAUUUGGCUUCCAUUAGAGCUUUAUUUUAGGAUUUCUUCAUCUAGGUGAGUUUUUCUCCACCUUAGCUUGAGAUGGUUAAUGAUCAACCUUAUGGUUGUUCGUAAGGUCCGUUUAACUCUUGUUUCUACACCUCUAGGGUGGUAGAAGACUAGUGGACACCUUCGUCGGAGCAAACGAAGGAGUUGCAAGAGUUGUAGUGGGUUUGGCUUCAUUGAAAUAGGGGGAAAUGCCUCCUACGUGGUUAAAUAUUUUCGUAUACUAUAAAUGCAUGGAUAUCCAUAUUGAAUAGAAUUUAUAUGAAUUUUAGAAUGCUUAAAACUCUUAUGUUAUGCAUCAUGAAAAAUUGACUCUAUGUUGUAGAGAGAAGCAUAUGCAUUGUUAGUAUGCAUGGGUUUAAUGUUCUAACGAAUGAUGUAAGAUCAUAUUUCUUGUGUGGAAAAUGAUUAGAAUGACAAGCUUUUAGACUUAUUAUUCAUAUUGGGAUAUAGUAAGCAAAAGCGUCAUAAAGGGGUACUUGAACUAGAAAAUUGUUGAACUGCAACUUAGAGACAUGAUGAUAGGCCGCUAGAAAUCUACUAAAUUCCAUGUUUUAGACAUGAUGAUAUAGAAAUAGGCCAUUGAGACAGUUACCAUAUUCUAUGUUUUAGACACGAUGACAUAGAGGCAGGCCUUUGGGACAUGUGCUGUAUUCCGGAUUUUAGAUCCGAUGAAACAGUGAUGAACCACUAGGACCUGAGACGGACUUAUUCGCUUGCAUGCCAUUGUGCUCAUUCGCACAUACUUGUGAGGGUCGCUCUCUACAAGUCGGCACUCCGGAGAUAGCCAUCGCGACAUAUGCUCGCCCAUGCGGGAUUGGGCGCCAAAAUAGGAUGCCGUGGGAGAGGCUCAUUCCUAAAGUGGGGAUGUUGACUACCACGGGGCCAUUGUUUGCACGGCGCAGGCCGGACUACCUACGGGUAGCUUCCACAGGAUUGGGUUACUGGUGACAUAUUGUACCUUUUGGAUAUUCACUAGAAUAGUAGAUAAUGACACAUUACCAUUGUAGCUUCUGAUUAUUGUGUUGCGCUUAUACUUCUGCAAUUAUGCCAUGAUAGUUUAUUACUUAUGCAAAUUCAUGCUAAGUAGAGAUCAUGUGGUAGUUUAUUACUUAUGCAAAUCCAUGCUAAGUAGAGAUCAUGUGGUCGUUUAUUACUUAUGCAAAUUCGUGACAUCAUGCUAUAGUGAGCUUCCAUUUCAGUGAUUUAUUUGUUUAUAUUAUUCUUACCUGCCUUACUUACUUUACUUGCUUAGUUUUGGGCCUAAUGGUGCAAUUCACUGAAGUCAGUAAUUGCCCACUGGGAACUAUUAUUUAAUAGUUCUCACGCCCUCUGUUUUAUGUUUUCCUUUCAGAGCCCUCUGCACCGGUGGAGGCACGGGACCGCGGCAAGGGGAUCGCUAGCUAGAUAGCGAGGAUUUACUUUUACUCUUAGGUGGUUUCCCCUCUUUUUAUGUUUUGGGAGAGCGAAAGAUUUUGUUUACCAUGUAUAGAGACCACCUAUGUACUCUUUUAGUUCUUGUAUUUGGAUCUUUGGUUGUACUACUUUAUGGUUUAUUUAGUGAUUUUAGCUCUCUACUCUUCACAUUGCUUUAGUUUCUAGAUGUUGUAUAUUGCUCUAAUACUUCUAGUUGUUUUCUUUUAUCGUCUCAUUUAUCGUUUUGUUUUAGACGCCUUAUAUGUUUUAGACGUAUGGCGGGUCUGUGCACGUGCCGGGCGGGCUUCCGCUGAGUCCCGGG